rnacentral:rRNA from 1 species
UACGUAGGGGGCAAGCGUUGUCCGGAAUCAUUGGGCGUAAAGAGCGUGUAGGCGGCCAGAUAAGUCCGCUGUGAAAUCUCGAGGCUCAACUUCGAGCUGUCGGUGGAAACUGUCUGGCUAGAGUCCGGAAGAGGAGAAUGGAAUUCCUGGUGUAGCGGUGAAAUGCGCAGAUAUCAGGAAGAACACCCGUGGCGAAGGCGGUUCCUGCGUGGACG